CAGGGCUUGUUCAAGGCUAGGUAGCCACAACAGAGUCAAGGCUGCAGGGAAAGACUGUAGUUGUUUCCUGCGUGGAGGGAGUUGGAGGUUAGCAAACACAGAGAGGAGGGGGAGCCAGAGAUGUUGGAAGAAGGUCUGGGAAAUAGCAGCAAGAGGUAGGACUAUAGCGACUGUUGCUGCUUGUUGUAGGGUCCCUGGGCUGGAACCUAGGCCCAUCCUCUACCAGCUGCUAGGGAGUGGCAAGGAUCUUGGAGGAACUAGCCAGAUCACAAGUCUGGAAAGAUUGUGAAUUGUCCAGAAAGGGAGGACUUUAGUGACCAGGUCAGAGGGCCAAGCCACAGAGAAGCUGCACACCCAGCAGUGAGUGGUGCAGCAGCAGGAGAAGAUAAUACCGAGGGAGAGUGCAAGUUGCCAGAGCUGAUUCCCAGGAUGGUUAGCAGGAGGUGCCACUGUGAUGGGCAAAGACUGGCAGAAGACAAGAAUCCUUAAUGAAUUGUAACUGACAACAUCGGGGAAGUCCUUGUGCUUGCCAAUGGGUACCCUGCCCUGCAGAUGCCAAAUUUAAUUAUCUAUAUGCUAUUGGGCUCUCCCAGUGUUAGCGGGUAAUUAAUCCAUGCAUUGCUGUGGACUUGCUGACAUCUGUAUUGUGCCAUUCCAAAGGAUCAGGGGUGCAGUUUGGAUUAGCAAUCAACUGGUUAGCCUGUGUCUAGUCAUUAUUCUCAGGAUGAUGUCAGCAUAUUCACACUAGGGCAUGAGACAGUUUUUCUGGGAAUGACUUUAUUGUGCCAGCAAGUCAGUGGCUGUAUGAUUCCCAGAAGUAUUUCUGUCGGGGUAGUGAUGAUCAUCUGAAAGCAGCUGCUGUAAAUAUUUACUAGAGCUGGCCACUGAAGCUUAGGAAAAUUUAAUAUUCCUUUCUUUCUUCGUAUGAAUGGAACCCUGAUACUGCAGGGAUGGACACCUUAGAAAUACAUGCAACGAGACAUAAGUUUAUCUUCUCCCAUUCAUUUCCACAAGCAGAGGAAAGUCUGUGCUGAGGAAUGCAGACUAGAGGAGUGCGGAGAUGGAUUGUGCUGCCUUCACAGCAUGCUCCUCUUUGUCCCCAAGAGAGGGAACUUAGAUGGGGGAAGUGAGUGAGGGAGUGGGUUGGGGGAAGAGGAAAGGGCAGGAGGAGGCUGAAAGAUCUCUCCAGGAGUCUUUUGCCAUCAUACAGAGAGUCACCCCCCUCCAGGCUGAGGCUCCAGGAGCAGCCAUACUCAGGAAAGCCUCCUUCAACCUUGUCCCUGUUGGGCAUGCGAUUCAUGGGAGCUAGAUGAGUU